CUCCUUUUAGGAAAUUAUCCAGUACCCUCCACCCAGCCAACUAUCACUCAACUAGCAUGGCAUUGAAAGGGUUCAUAUUGGACCUUGAGAUCUGAGGUAGGCCCCCUUUUAGGAAUAGAUCCAGUACCACCCAGCCAUCUAGCUCUUAAUACUGGGCCUGGAGAAGCAGGUCUGAGGUAGGCUUCCCUUUAGGAAAUUAUCCAGUACCACCCCCACCCAGCCAACUAGCUCUUAAUACUGGGCCUGGAGAAACAGGUCUGAGGUAGGCUUCCCUUUAGGAAAUGAUCCAGUACCACCCAGCCAACUAGCUCUUAAUACUGGGCCUGGAGAAGCAGGUCUGAGGUAGGCUUCCCUUUAGGAAAUGAUCCAGUACCACCCCCACCCAGCCAACUAGCUCUUAAUACUGGGCCUGGAGAAACAGGUCUGAGGUAGGCUUCCCUUUAGGAAAUGAUCCAGUACCACCCAGCCAACUAGCUCUUAAUACUGGGCCUGGAGAAACAGGUCUGAGGUAUGGCUUCCCUGUAGCUCAAAGGAUUCCUUACCAAACCCAACCCGAAAAGAGAUGGGGAAGAGGAGGGGCUUCACCUCUGCCAAACACUUAGUGACCUCACUGCUGCCGUCUGGCCGUUCCUCUGUUCUGUCCAGCUGUCUCCUCUUUGUUUGGUCUUUUGUUCUCCAUGAUUUUCCAAUUGAUAUAUUUUUCUAUUUUGUUUCAUAUCUAGAAUAUUGCGGCAUUUACACCUUAAUCAUACCUUCCGUGCCUGUCGCAUCUCCCUGUCUUUUUGUUUUUAACAUCUCUCGUUCGUAGAUAAGCCUAACCUCCCAAGCCCUUCUCGGUUUACUAGAAUCUGUGAAACCUGAUGUUAAA